CAAGUGGUCCUUAUGCAGUGCAAGU
rnacentral:piRNA from 1 species